AUUGAACGCUGGCGGCAGGCCUAACACAUGCAAGUCGAGCGAGCGGCGGACGGGUGAGUAAUGUCUGGUAAACUGCCUGAUGGAGGGGGAUAACUACUGGAAACGGUAGCUAAUACCGCAUACCAUCAGAUGUGCCCAGAUGGGAUUAGCUAGUAGGUGGGGUAAUGGCUCACCUAGGCCACGAUCCCUAGCUGGUCUGAGAGGAGGACCAGCCACACUGGAACUGAGACACGGUCCAGACUCCUACGGGAGGCAGCAGUGGGGAAUAUUGGAAAAUGGGCGCAAGCCUGAUGCAGCAAUGCCGCGUGUGUGAAGAAGGCCUUCGGGUUGUAAAGCACUGUCAGCGAGGAGGCGUUACUCGCAGAAGAAGCACCGGCUAACUCCGUGCCAGCAGCCGCGGUAAUUC
rnacentral:rRNA from 1 species